rnacentral:pre_miRNA from 1 species
AAGUACGGCAAUCUCUGUCUCUCAGUAGGUAUAAAUUAAUAUAAAAAUUGAUCUUAGAUAAUUUUCUCUUCAAGUUGAAUAUCUUUU